rnacentral:rRNA from 1 species
UCCAGACUCCUACGGGAGGCAGCAGUGGGGAAUAUUGCACAAUGGGGGAAACCCUGAUGCAGCGACGCCGCGUGAGUGAAGAAGUAAUUCGUUACGUAAAGCUCUAUCAGCAGGGAAGAGAGUGACGGUACCUGACUAAGAAGCCCCGGCUAACUACGUGCCAGCAGCCGCGGUAAUACGUAGGGGGCAAGCGUUAUCCGGAUUUACUGGGUGUAAAGGGAGCGUAGACGGUUAUGCAAGUCUGGAGUGAAAGGCGGGGGCUCAACCCCCGGACUGCUCUGGAAACUGUAGAACUAGAGUGCAGGAGGGGUAAGUGGAAUUCCUAGUGUAGCGGUGAAAUGCGUAGAUAUUAGGAGGAACACCAGUGGCGAAGGCGGCUUACUGGACUGUAACUGACGUUGAGGCUCGAAAGCGUGGGGAGCAAACAGGAUUAGAUACCCGCGUACC